rnacentral:lncRNA from 1 species
CAUACAUUUCAGACCAAAAUGAUGAAAAGAUGAAAAUUUCAUUAAAAUUAUUGUCUUUUAUCUCAAAAGGAUUGAUACCAUCAAUAUUAAUUAGCUAUGAAUGCUUUAAUGUAAUUUAUAAAUGUAUGGGGACAUCAGUAUAAUGCAAUUAGGGAGAAUGCAUACUAUUUUUUAAAAAAUAUUAAGACAUUAUUUUUCAAUUACCUCAAACCCUAUAUACAGUUUGUUUCAUUCAAAAAUUUAUCAUGAAUUUGGAUCUAACAAACAUUGAAGUUUGCCUUAGUGCCAUGUGGGAUGAAAGAAAUUAUCAUAAAAUUGACAAAUGCAAUCCUCCAUCUAAUAACGUGCCCUGAAAAAGUCUCCAUUGGAAUAUGACAGCGUCUGAACAAUUGAUGUGUAACUAUUUUUUUUUUUGUAUUUUACUUAUUUCUAAUAUACAGCCGGUAACAGGAAAACCUAGCAGAUAAGAUAA